rnacentral:rRNA from 1 species
CAGGUCCCGUCAAUUCCUUUAAGUUUUCCCGCCAUGGAGCACAGUCUUGUCACAGACAUCGCCAUCUGCAUCAUCGCCGCCUGGGCGGUUGCGGUGGUGUCGCAGAUUGCCCGGUUGCCGCUCCUGCUGCCUCCCGUAAGAGUACUCCUACGGGAGGCAGCAGUCGGGAAUUUUGGGCAAUGGGCGAAAGCCUGACCCAGCAACGCCGCGUGAAGGAUGAAAUCCUUCGGGAUGUAAACUUCGCAAGAACGGGAAGAAUAAGUAAGAGUUAAUAUCUCUUACGAUGACGGUACUGUUUGUAAGCUCCGGCUAACUCCGUGCCAGCAGCCGCGGUAAUACGGGGGGAGCAAGCGUUACUCGGAAUUACUGGGCGUAAAGCGUGCGUAGGCGGUUUUGUAAGACAGGUGUGAAAUCCCCGGGCUUAACCUGGGAAUGGCGCUUGUGACUGCAAGACUCGAGUGCGGCAGAAGGGGGUGGAAUUCCACGUGUAGCAGUGAAAUGCGUACAGAUGUGGAGGAACACCUGUGGCGAAAGCGGCUCACUGGACCACAACUGACGCUGAUGCGCGAAAGCUAGGGGAGCAAACGGGAUUACAUACCCCGGUAGUCCUGGCCC